UUACGACCAGAUCGCGUUGAAACACAGCCUCUCGUACGAUGACAGAAGUUAAGCAACGUCGAGCUUGGUCAGUACAUUAAUGCGUAGCCGCUUGGGAAUAGUAGGUGCUGUAA